AUGGAAGGUCUCCAAAUGUAUACAGAGGACUUGCACUGGAAAAUGUACUCCAGAGGAGUGGUGCUCAACCAACCAGUGAUAUACAGUACAGUAGUGCCUCAACUUACGACUGUCCCUACUUACGAACAAUUCAACUUACAAACAGCUCUAGUCACAAAAAAAUUGCUUCUACUUGCAAUCGGAGCUUCUACUUACAAACAGAAAAAGGCAGGGGGAAAAGGCAGGAAAUUCAAAUUGCUAACUGCAGGUGGUGAAAGAGGCUGCUUCUUUGUAACUUUUGCCCCAAGGGUUAGAGUGAGUGCGAUCGAGGAGGGACUGCCUGACUUCUGCUUCUCAGUGAGCGUGUGUGUGUUUGCAGGGCGGCUUGGGACUGCCUGUUAGGUAAGGUAAGGUGCUGUUUUCUGCUUUUAAAAAAUUGUUCUGAGUGUUUCUGCAGCAUGGUUUUAGGGUGGAGGGUUAUGUUUCUGUGCUGUGAUGGGUCUUGAGGGUUUGUUUGUUUGUUGGGUUCCUCCUCAUUUCUGAUGGGUCUUGGGGGGUUUGGUUGUUUUUUUGGGGGGUCCUGCAUGCUUCCCUUGCUUUUUCCUUUGUUUUCUUUGCAUUUCCGACCUCGUCCCUCUGUUCUCUGUGCAUUUCCAAUCUGCUCCAUUUGUUUUCUAUGCAUUUGAAUGGGUCUUGCACACUUGAUUGCUUUUCUCCCCUCCCCCUUCAGCCCGAAGGGAUUAAUAACAUUUCCAAUUAAUCUUGCAAUGAUUUUUUUCCUUUGGCCGGAAUGGAUUAAUAGGGUUUCAAUGCAUUCCUAUGGGAAAUGGUGCUUCAACUUACGACCAUUUCAACUUACAUCCAUCUUCUAGAGCAGAUUACGGUCGUAAGUGGAGGCACCACUGUAUAUCAUAGGAUUCCCCCCCCUCACAUUUCAUAAAUAUUUUAGUACAGUAUAUCUUUUCAUGUGACAACACUGAAGAAAUGACACUUGCCUACAAUGUAAAGCAGUGAGUAUACAGUUUGUAUAACAGUGUAAAUGUGCUAUCCCCUCAAAAUAAUGCAACAUACAGCCAUUAAUGUCUAAACCGCUGGCAACAAAAGUGGAAAAGCCAUUCCAUGACCUGGCCUAACUUUCCCUCUUUCCCAUGGGUGUCUUCGGGAAACAGGAGGGCUUCGAACCCUGCAUACUGAAAGACCCUCUUCCCACAAGGUCCCAAACACCUCUGAUAGAAGAACUUGUGGGGCUGGGAACCUCCCUCUUCACAUGCAGGGAGAGAGGUCCACUCCUUCCUCCAAGAGGCCUGGCUAAGAAAUUCUGAAAUGUCAAGUAAGGGAGCAAAAACACAGUGCCCGAACCUGUUUUUGGAAGGAAAAAAAAAAGUAUGACAGAUACCAUGACCGAACAUAAUAAGCAGUUAUUACGCUCAGACAGUAUCACUACCUUGAGUGGAAUCUUAAUCACAGAGAGCAUAAUCAAAACACAAAACAACAGGAAUCUUCUGGAGUGGACAGCUGGGGAGAAAUAAUAACAGAAUACUUUUCUCCCACUCCUCACUUUCCUAGACAGAAGGUCCAAAUUAAGCUUCCCCUCCACAUCCACGUAUGCAGUUGGUUCCCACCUCCAAGAAGAAAAUGAAAUUGGUGAGUCCAAUGACCAUGUGCUCUAGCAUAAUCAUUUACUGAUGCUGCAUACUAUAUCAUAGUUAUCCUGUGAGCAUCCAAAAUAUACAUCCUGAAAUACUUUUUGAUUCAGUCACAAGAGCCAGAUGAACCCAGUCACCAAGUCAAUAUCCUGAUAAUCCAAAGACCAUGACAUGAUACCCAAGAUGAGGAGUUCUCAGACCACAUGUAGCAUCAUCCUACCCCACUGCCCUAAUUUAGUCCUUCGUUAUGUUUCCCUUGCUUUUCCCCAUCACACAGCAUAUCUAAUUUGCCCAGCCCUUCAAUCAUUCUGAAUUUAAGAGAACAGCCUAAGGACAAACACAAACAACCCGCACCUCUUGCUUUUGGGUCGGUUUUGAAGCAGGAAGUUGAGAGGAAAGGGCUGCAGGCAUUUACCCCCUAAUCCCUUGAGGAAAUCCAGCAAUUAGAGCAGCAGGUACUUUCGAGAUCAAGAUCAGAUCAACAAGGAGGGCUGGCACACACACACACACCACGGUCUACUAUCAAGAAUGGGAUAUCACAUGUCAAAUACAGGGCAUCCAAAUAUAGAUAUCAGAAGACUUGAGAUCGUGGUUGGUUGCAAAGAAAGUCAGUGGACGUUUAACACCGUGGUGAUAACAGGGCAGAAUCCAUGAAGAAAUAAAACCCCUGUAACCCCCUCCA
rnacentral:lncRNA from 1 species